GACAGUGUGGCAUAGUGGUUUGAAUGUUGGACUAGGACUCCAGGAUGACCAGGGUUCAAAUCUCUGCUCAACCA